rnacentral:rRNA from 1 species
GACGAACGCUGGCGGCGUGCCUAAUACAUGCAAGUAGAACGCUGAAGAGAGGAGCUUGCUCUUCUUGGAUGAGUUGCGAACGGGUGAGUAACGCGUAGGUAACCUGCCUGGUAGCGGGGGAUAACUAUUGGAAACGAUAGCUAAUACCGCAUAAAAUGGAUUAUCGCAUGAUAAUCCAUUGAAAGGUGCAAAUGCAUCACUACCAGAUGGACCUGCGUUGUAUUAGCUAGUUGGUGGGGUAACGGCUCACCAAGGCGACGAUACAUAGCCGACCUGAGAGGGUGAUCGGCCACACUGGGACUGAGACACGGCCCAGACUCCUACGGGAGGCAGCAGUAGGGAAUCUGCGGCAAUGGACGGAAGUCUGACCGAGCAACGCCGCGUGAGUGAAGAAGGUUUUCGGAUCGUAAAGGUCUGUUGUAAGAGAAGAACGAGUGUGAGAGUGGAGAGUUCACACUGUGACGGUAUCUUACCAGAAAGGGACGGCUAACUACGUG